UGCUUUAAGAAACUAAUUUAAAGUAAGACCUGCUCAAUGAUAAAUUAAAUAGCCGCAGUUAACUGUGCUAAGGUAGCGUAAUAACUUGCUUCUUAAUUAGAAGAUAGUAUGAAUGGUCAGACAUUUUUAAAUGUCACUAAAUAAAAAAUUAAACUAAAAAAAAGGUAAAAACUCCUUUAUGAAAAAGUGGGACGACAAGACCCUGAUAAACUCAAACAUUUUGUUGGGGAAACUAUAUAAAAAAACUUUAUCCAAAUCAAAAAACAACUUAAUAUAAAACAAAGUUACUACAGGGAUAACAGCGCAAUUUCUUUCUAAAGCUCUUAUAUAAAAAGAAGAUUACGACCUCGAUGUUGAAUUAAUAAACCAAAUAAAGAGCAUAAACUUAUUAAAUGGUAGUCUGUUCGACUAUUAAAAAAUU
rnacentral:rRNA from 1 species